AUUGAACGCUGGCGGCAUGCUUUACACGUGCAAGUCGAACGGUAACAGGCCGCAAGGUGCUGACGAGUGGCGAACGGGUGAGUAAUGCAUCGGAACGUGCCCAGUCGUGGGGGAUAACGCAGCGAAAGCUGCGCUAAUACCGCAUACGAUCUAUGGAUGAAAGCGGGGGACCGUAAGGCCUCGCGCGAUUGGAGCGGCCGAUGUCAGAUUAGGUAGUUGGUGGGGUAAAGGCUCACCAAGCCAACGAGCUGUAGCUGGUCUGAGAGGACGACCAGCCACACUGGGACUGAGACACGGCCCAGACUCCUACGGGAGGCAGCAGUGGGGAAUUUUGGACAAUGGGCGCAAGCCUGAUCCAGCAAUGCCGCGUGCAGGAAGAAGGCCUUCGGGUUGUAAACUGCUUUUGUACGGAACGAAAGGGCUCUGGUUAAUACCUGGGGCUCAUGACGGUACCGUAAGAAUAAGCACCGGCUAACUACGUGCCAGCAGCCGCAGUAAGAC
rnacentral:rRNA from 1 species